rnacentral:miRNA from 1 species
CUGCUUACACUCGUUCAACUG